CUGGUCUUACAGCUGAUGACCUCAUGGAGAAGAAGAGACCCGUUCUGUCAGGAGAAUUCAUCCUCCAGAACACAAUGGACUGUCUGGAACUUUUACUCUUUGCCACACUUGCGGCUAUGGGGCAGUAGAGGAGGGCAGAGCAGGAACCUGGGAGAAGCAGAGCCUCCCUACAGAACUACAGAUCCAUGUGGGAGCUGCCAUGGAAGGAGAUAAGAAAUCCACCCUCCGGAUAUGUAGAAUGAUGUUGUUGUAAUCACUCUUCAAAGGGAGAUCCACAGUAAACAAAUGUUAGCAUGUUGCCUCUGCAGCUUCUUUUGGUACCAUAUCAGGAUGGGUGAGCUGUCUCCAGUUAAGGCAAAUUAACCUGUGAAGAAACAAAGCAAAAUCCAUGCUGAAAAUGUGUGCAGAUGUGAGGCCAACAGCAGCAGCAGAAAGGCUUUGUCAACACCAGCAAAUCACUGAUUCUACCUCUGCAAGGUCAGUUUCUGAAGGCAACGUGUGUGAGACCAGAGCUCCACAACCGGUGAGGAACGUGAAUUGUCAGGAAAUAUUUAGAAAUUACACAGUGUUAGUGAACAGGCAGAAAGCUUUCACAUGAUAGAGCCAACAUCUGAAUUCAAUGCCAGCCUUGCAUCAAUAGGGUGAAUAGUUUGUGAGUAACUUCAGUGGGGUUAGAAUGAAGCUUGGGAGAUUCUUAAUCAUUCAUUGAUGGUCGAUGACACAAUGAACAUCUGCAGAAUAUGUUCCUGUGUCAUCAGUGUUUUUCCUGAAUUUCUUCUUUAAUAUUUUGGAAGAAUUUAUCCUUUGAAAAAGCUCUCUAUAAUAAAGUGAAAAACUUUGUUUGUAGUGGAAUGCUUGCUUCUGUGGUUAUUUAGAAGUGGCUUCUAUAAAGAUAGGAGCAAAUUGGUAAAAACUGUUUUGAAAGUUGCAUA